AUUGAACGCUGGCGGCAGGCCUAACACAUGCAAGUCGAGCGAGCGGCGGACGGGUGUGAAAUGUCUGGGAAACUGCCUGAUGGAGGGGGAUAACUACUGGAAACGGUAGCUAAUAUCGCAUACCCUCUGCUGUGCCCAGAUGGGAUUAUCUAGUAGGUGGGGUAACGGCUCACCUAGGCGAGGAUCCCUAUCUGGUCUGAGAGGAUGACAAGCCACACUGGAACUGAGAAACGGUCCAGACUCCUACGGGAGGGAGCAGGGGGGAAUAUUGCACAAUGGGCGCAAGCCUGAUGCAGCCAUGCCGCGUGUGUGAAGAAGGCCUUCGGGUUGUAAAGCACGUUCAGCGGGGAGGCGUUACCCGCAGAAGAAGCACCGGCUAACUCCGUGCCAGCAGCCGCGGUAAUAC
rnacentral:rRNA from 1 species